AACGAACGCUGGCGGCAGGCUUAACACAUGCAAGUCGAACGCAUCGCAAGAUGAGUGGCAGACGGGUGAGUAACGCGUGGGAACAUACCCUUUUCUACGGAAUAGCUCUGGGAAACUGGAAUUAAUACCGUAUACGCCCUACGGGGGAAAGAUUUGUCGGGGAAGGAUUGGCCCGCGUUGGAUUAGCUAGUUGGUGGGGUAAAGGCCUACCAAGGCGACGAUCCAUAGCGUGUCUGAGAGGAUGAUCAACCACAUUGGGACUGAGACACGGCCCAAACUCCUACGGGAGGCAGCAGUGGGGAAUAUUGGACAAUGGGCGCAAGCCUGAUCCAGCCAUGCCGCGUGAGUGAUGAAGGCCUUAGGGUUGUAAAGCUCUUUCACCGAUGAAGAUAAUGACGGUAGUCGGAGAAGAAGCCCCGGCUAACUUCGUGCCAGCAGCCGCCGUAA
rnacentral:rRNA from 1 species